UCAUCAGGUAUUUUGUCCCUGGCGAGGUC
rnacentral:sRNA from 1 species